AGAAUAAUUCCAUUCCAUACGACAACAGCUGACGAACAAUCAUUCAACUAGGUAAUUGUUUGAACGACAACGCUACCAACUACCAAGUCCCAAUUCGAUGCUUAUGUUGAAGCGCGGCCAAACCGCAACACCGGAUCAUUUUUUUUCUUCUACCGGAAGCUCCCGAGAUGAGGCGAGGAGAAGCGAAGGGUUCAAGGGGCGCAAAUCGAUCGUCGUUGUGGUCAUGGAAGAGCAGCUAUAUUGGAUAUGGCUUAGUUGUUGGCUUCGUGUUGAUGCUGCUGUAUUUGAUGGUCUCCGCGCAGUUCAGCAGCAGCCCAAACGCUUAUUUAGGCGGCCCAGCAAAAAUCAGUCAAACCGAAUCGAUUUCUUCUGCAAGGCAUCAAGAGAAUCAUGCAGGACAAGAAGAUGGAAACAGAGAAAACGAGGAACCCUACAACGAGGAGGUAGCUAGAACACACACGGAACCAUCAACAGGUCAGUGUCAAGGCAACGAAAGGAACUCUGAUAUCACGGAGGAAAGACACCAAUCCAAGAGAAAGGACAAUCUCGGAGGAGGAACGGGCGAUUUCCACAAUGUCGCCAACACCAAACCGAUCUGCGACACGUCGUUCGGCAAGUACGACAUUUGCGUGCUCGACGGCGACGCACGGGCACAGGGGGGCACUGCAGCCACGGUCACGCUCGUCUCACCGCACGCUGCGCCGCAAGAGUGGAAGAUAAAGCCCUACUCCCGGAAGUACCUCGACGGCCUCAAGGCGGUCACGGUGAAGUCCGUCACCAACCCCGAGGACGCCCCACAGUGCACGACACGACUCAACGUCCCGGCAAUCGUCAUCGAGCUUGGCGGGCUGACCGGCAACUACUGGCAUGACUUCACCGACGUGCUUAUCCCCCUCUUCAUCGGCGCGUCUCGCUUCAGCGGGGAGGUCCAGCUCGUCGUCGUCAACCUGCUGCCUUUCUGGGUCGACAAGUACAGGAAAAUAUUCAGCCAGAUCUCACGCUACGAGAUCAUCGACCUAGACAAGGACCACGGCGUCGUGCGGUGUUACCCGCAUGUGGUUGUCGGCUACGGCAGCCGCAAGGAGUUCACUAUUGAUCCAUCCCUGGAUGACACCGGCGGCGGCUACACCAUGCUAAACUUCACUGAAUUCCUGAGGCACUCCUACUCGCUUCCGCGCGACCGUCCGAUCAAGCUCAAUGCAAUUGGCCCCCCUGGGCUGGCACGGCCGCGGCCACGGAUGAUGAUCCUGGAGCGGACCAACAGCCGCAAGUUCAUGAACCUCCCGGAGGUCGUCGCGGCUGCCGAGGCCGUGGGGUUCGAAGUGACCGUCGCCGGCCGUCCAAUGGCUAGUUUUGAUGAGUUCGCCCGGGAGGUGAAUUCCUUCGACGUGAUGCUGGGCGUGCACGGGGCCGGGCUGACAAACUGCCUGUUCCUCCCCACGGGGGCCGUGCUCGUGCAGAUCGUGCCGUACGGGCGACUGGAGAACAUUGCUCAGACCGAUUUUGGCGACCCUGCACAAGACAUGGGACUCCGGUACAUCCAGUACAGCAUUGCGGCCGACGAGAGUUCUCUGAUGGACGUGUUCGGCAAGGACCACCCAAUGAUCAAGGACCCUAUCGCCGUGCACAUGAGCGGGUGGGGCAACGUUGCCGAGUGGUACCUUGGGAAGCAGGACGUGCGGGUCAACAUAGACCGAUUCAGGCCUGCCGUCACCCAGGCGUUGGAGUACCUGCAGUAGUGAUCGAUUCUGAAUAAACAGGCUAAUAAUCGCCCAGUCCAGGGUUGGGCACCUAUGUCCUUGGUAACUUGUGAUGAGGACAUUACUACUUUGGAUAUACACAAUACUCCUCAAGUUAUUAUACAAGGUCCCAAUCACUAGAGCUUGCGUCCGCCAAUUAAAUUUACAGGAACAUUGGAGAGGAUCCCAAAGUACUUGGAGAGAUAUCUGGAGUUAUAGAUGACCCUCAUUAGGUUGGGCCCUAGUCAGGGGCUAGAUCCCAGCUUUGGAGCGCUAGGUCCUUGAAUCUUCAUCGAUUGAUCCCAUAGGAUCAAUGUUUCUUCAUACCUUGCAAAUUAAUUGAAGCAUACUCAAGAUGACAACAAAACCUUUGUUGGAAACACUCAAAUAGGUUUGGAGUCAAAGUUACUUAAAUGUUUUGUUUUUUGAAGUUGAACUAUUUCCUCACCCACUAGAGUGGUGGAGGGAUUGGAGACCUAAGUCGGUUGCGGACACCCGGGUCCUCCAGUGAAUCGGUUGCCUUGAGCUCAGCAUCUGGGUUGAAUGAUCCCUCCUUGGCAACUGACUCAUCUGCCGAUGGGAACGUUGGCCUCUUCUUUCUCUUAGGUAAUACUCAUCCGG